rnacentral:tRNA from 1 species
GGACUGUAGCUCAGUGGUACGAGCACUUGCCUAGCAUGUGUGAGGCACUGGGUUCAAUCCUCAGCACCA